AUGGCCAAACUUGUGAGGCAUGACGUUACUAUUCCACCACAGAUAACUCAGCUCAUCGGGCAGAAGUAUAAGCUCAUGGUCUCCAUAUCAAAAAAAUGGAAGCUCAAAAAUGGCGAGGAUUUGUCAUUCCAGGUCAAUAGAAUUGCAGAAACCUACAAACCUGAGUUGCCUCCCUCUGUCAGUGCUGUUGCUUCUGGAUCUGGCAAGGAUGCAUUGGUCAACAAUGUUUGUGGUGAACAACUCCCUGUCUUGGGACCGGCUAUAUCGUCUGGACCAAACACACCUCCUCCCACGGGUUUUCUACCUGGUUCUCCUGCAGCUCAGGCACACACACAUGCUUCUAUUGGCAAAAUCACCCCCUCAACUCCAUCUCCACGGUACUGCUCUGUUGCCCCGAAGCGUGGCGCAAGGCGCUCUUUGUUUGGUAAAUCUUUGAAAGGAAAGUCUGACGUCAUGCUAGGCGAUGCUACUACAUCUGCCCAGGAUGGCGUGGAAGCUGUGGUGGAUGAUUCUUCCAUGACUGUUGAAGAGAAAGAUGUUGAUGCGGUACCCAUUAGGCCCAAAAGGUCCCCGUCCGGUAGCAAGGGUCCGGGCCACCAAAGAAACAACAGAAGUAAUGCCCUUUCUGCAGUGCUUGCAGAUGUCGUUUGUAAAUAA
rnacentral:rRNA from 1 species